GUAGGAUCACAACGGUAUGUAUAUUCUCCUGGAGCUGGAUCAUAUUCGUUCUUCCAUGAGGACAGGUUUAGUAUCAUUUGCGUCUCGUUCAACAACUGUGCAAAAGGCCUCGAUGAAUUAGUAGACCACACGAUUGUAUUAGCAGCAGUGAGAAGAGCAAGUCGUCCUGUAUCGAUGAUUUUCAACAUAACACCUGACGUGUUGUUGAAUGGAUUUUCUCUAUUGGCUACCACAGACUUAUAAGUGACUGCCUGAUGUUUGAUCGUGUAAACUCGGAGAAUGGGAACAACAUAACUGAUACUCUGUAAAUAAUGGAGUACUAUGGGACUGGAG